rnacentral:rRNA from 1 species
UACGUAGGGGGCAAGCGUUGUCCGGAAUCAUUGGGCGUAAAGAGCGUGUAGGCGGCCCGGUAAGUCCGCUGUGAAAAGUCGGGGGGCUCAACCCUCGAAUGCCGGUGGAUACUGUCGGGCUAGAGUGCGGAAGAGGCGAGUGGAAUUCCUGGUGUAGCGGUGAAAAUGCGCAGAUAUCAGGAGGAACACCAAUUGCGAAGGCAGCUCGCUGGGGACGUAAACUGACGCUGAGACGCGAAAAGCGUGGGGGAGCAAACAGG